rnacentral:lncRNA from 1 species
ACUCGGUAUGAAUGACACAAGGGUCCAAUGAGUUGACUCCUCGGAGAAGCCGAGUCAAGCCCCCCCCCCCCACCUUUCCUCAUUUCCUAGCUCGACCUGAUCUAUUGGAAGCGUAGGUGCCAUGUUGAUGGUCCCAGAAGUCUCCCAAAAACGUCUUCGCCGCAUCCAAACUGGGAUAAUAUGUGGGUUCCAUGAAGAUUUGAGACAACGAGUCCGUUGAAUCGGAACUCAACAGUGGCCGGCUCACCCUCGCUUCCGAACUUCCCAUGACCAUCACCAUCACUUGCUUAUAUGCAUAGAAAAACCUCUUCAAUGCUGAUUCAAUCGCCUGCAAAGCCUGAAGCAAAUGAAUCUUCUCCGACCCUACCUUUUCGCGGUACAGCUUCAUCACUGCCUCCUGAACCCUUGGCCCUCCCUUUGGAUCCACCUCAACGCCCAAGAGGUAGGGAACCUUGUGUUUCAGAUCUUUUGACGAUUUCGUGAUCUCAACGAGUCCUCGUGAUCUGAAGCAGAAUGGUUCUGAUUCCGGCGAGGAUUUGAUCGAGAGCUGCUUCUUCAGCCUGAGAAAAUCGUCCGGGUCCAUUAGGAGAUGGAGGUCUUCGAUGUCUGCCAGAAGUUUCCAGAUUCGUUCCAGCAACCAACAGUCGCUUGAGGCUUUUUCCAAGUCUCUCUCCUCGAUUCUCUCUGCUAUCCGUUUGAGAAGCUGUUGCGCUGUGUAGAUCCAUGACUCCAAGAUCUGGGAAGUGGUGUACAGCGUCUGGUUCUCAUAGUUCUCGACGUGAUCGUACGGAUUCCUCUUCAGAGAAUGAAGCUCUGAUGGCUUGCAGACUAGGUCGUACUCCAGGUUUGGCUUCCCUACGAGGUUCGGUUCUCCCAGACCUAGCGUGUACGGACACCCUCGCAUCUCGCAUUCAAUCGAGUACAUGAUUUUCUGUGCAAUAUCUUCCGAUUUCGGCCACGUGGCCAGCCUUGGAAGCAAGCUCGCUUCGCUGGUUCGGCUCACCACCGGUGUCGCUCCCGGAACCUUCCAAACCUCCGCGCAGCUCCCAUCGCGAGCCAAAACGCCGUUCGAUAAGCUUAGAUCAGAGAUGGGUGCAGUUCCACGCAUCUCCCCUUCUUCUUCCUCCUCCUCGCACAAGAUCGCUACGAGCUGAAUCUGAUUGGUCGUCAAGGACUCGAGCCUCCGCUUCCACUCUCGACGAUUUGCGUACGGUCUGGGGUCUGACAAAACGGUGGAAACGAACCGGAAGGUGAGCUCCAACGCUUGCAAAGCCGGCCUGAUAAGAGACUCAUUCUUCCAAUUCGGAAACUCUCUCGAAUCCCAUAGCUUCUUAAGCUCCGACAGCCGGAGGUAGUACUCGUACGCUGAACAUUCAGGCGAAGGAGCGGACGAUAAAUCACCGGCACGAAACGCAGAGGGGAUCGAAACCUGAAGCUUAUUUGAAAAUUUGGGCGACUUUUUGGGCAUAUCAGGUGAGACCAUUUUCGCUGUGCAAUCUAAAUCAACCAUGUUUAGGAAUAGAAGUGAAUGAAAACCGUCGACAACUUGUAUUAUCUGGUUUGCUCUAAUUGAGGAGGCGAAGAGAUGGAGGUAUUUAUAGGGGCAAAAGAGGGUCGAUGAGAAAAGCGUGUGAAAACUGGAAAG